ACUGCAGCUGCAGUAGCGUCAAGGUCCAGUUCUCCCAGUGCAGUAGUCCAAUCAGCCACUAGAGGGCGCAGGACGACUCUCGCUCCUCACGUUUCUUCUUCAGCUGAUUUUCUGCUUUCUUUGGUUGAUAAACAGGAAGUGUGAGGAUGGCAUCUUCACCUUCAUCGUCCUCCUCUUCCUCAGCUGCAGCAUCAGUGAUCCUAGUGGUCCAGUUCAUCUCCUGCUGAUGCUUCCAGUUCUUCUGGGUUUCUGCUGCUCAGCUUCAUUGACAGCUUCAGCUUUUCUGUCUGGACUAACAGAUGAUUGAUUUGCUGCUGGAAACAGAGAUGGUGGAGCAGAUCCUGCAGGGGGCGCUCUGGGGCCUCAGUGUUCAGGCCAAUCAAACUGCAGCUCGUUCUACAAAGGAGCUGUGUUUGGGGCGGGCCUCCUCUUUAGCACAAUCCAAGAUGGCCGCUGCAGAGGACACACCCGCAAGCCCCUGCGUGUUCGUGGAGGUGGGCAGCGGCUCCGGAGCGGUUCGUGGUUUUCUGUGGUCGGACCUUCAGCUCUACCUAUUGUUUUUCUGAUGAUGUUUACUGUCAGGUUGGAUGAUCAGCUCAGCCAGAACCGCCUGCUGUAACCGGGUUGCCCCGUCAUCACUGACCUGGAUCUAUGUGUGGUUGAGUGAAACUGUUAGUUUAACAAAGCAGGAUGAAUGAAAGAUUCACACAGCUUUGUGGAUGUCAUCACUCCAUCAGAAGAGCCGUCUGCAUCAAUGUUGAGGUGACUGAAAGUUUCUUCUCUGCGGUUGCUGCUCUCCAGAAGAGGCCACUUUGUCAAGAACAAGGCAGGAGAUCAUGGGCUGGAAGAAGAGACUGUUUCCAUAGAAACCAGCAGAGAUGAAAGACAGAUUCAUUUCUCUCUCCAGCCAGUGCAGCUUCCAGAUGGCAUCAUCUCUUCAUGUUGUUUCAUUAAAGACAAAUCA